UACGAAGGGGACUAGCGUUGUUCGGAAUCACUGGGCGUAAAGCGCACGUAGGCGGAUUGCUAAGUCAGGGGUGAAAUCCCGGAGCUCAACUCCGGAACUGCCUUUGAUACUGGCGAUCUUGAGUCCGGGAGAGGUGAGUGGAACUGCGAGUGUAGAGGUGAAAUUCGUAGAUAUUCGGAAGAACACCAGUGGCGAAGGCGGCUCACUGGACCGGUAUUGACGCUGAGGUGCGAAAGCGUGGGGAGCAAACAGG
rnacentral:rRNA from 1 species